GGUCAGCUCAGAUGAAACUUGAUCAGCUCACUGAAUACUACUUAAAUUUUUAGAUUUUUAUUUUCUUCUACUUUCUGAGACUGGAUUGACUAACUUUAUGAUUGAGUCGACUAAGACCUUAUUUUGGUCGACUCAUUUGAAUUUUGGAUCAACUAAGUCUCCUAUCUUCCAAAAUAUGACUUUCUAUCUUUUAUCCAUACUGAGACUGGG
rnacentral:lncRNA from 1 species